UACGGAGGGAGCUAGCGUUGUUCGGAAUUACUGGGCGUAAAGCGCACGUAGGCGGCUUUGUAAGUUAGAGGUGAAAGCCCGGGGCUCAACCCCGGAAUUGCCUUUAAGACUGCAUCGCUUGAAUCCGGGAGAGGUGAGUGGAAUUCCGAGUGUAGAGGUGAAAUUCGUAGAUAUCGGGAAGAACACCCGUGGCGAAGGCGGCUCUCUGGGACGGUACUGACGCUGAGACGCGAAAGCGUGGGGAGCGAACAGG
rnacentral:rRNA from 1 species